rnacentral:rRNA from 1 species
ACUCUGUGUUACGGGAUGAAUUGAGCGUUGCUGAUAACGCAGCGUUUUUGACGUUACCGUAGUAGAAAGCCCCAGCUAACUACGUGCCAGCAGCUGCGGUAAUACGUAGGGGGCAAGCGUUGUCCGGAAUCACUGGGCGUAAAGCGCGCGCAGGCGGUGGAGUAAGUCAGACGUGAAAGGGUUCGGCUCAACCGAGCCAUUGCGUUUGAAACUGCCUCACUUGAGUCUAGAAGAGGAAAGUGGAAUGUAUGGUGUAGCGGUGGAAUGCUUAGAUAUCAUAUAGAACACCUGUGGCGAAGGCGGCUUUCUGGUCUAAGACUGACGCUCAUGCGCGAAAGUUUGGGGAGCAACCGGGAUUAGAUACCCCGCUAGUCCUUACUGUAAACGAUGGGUACUAAGUGUAGGGGGUGUUGAUUCCCUCUGUGCUGUAGCUAACGCAUUAAGUACCCCGCCUGGGGAGUACGGCCGCAAGGUUAAAACUCAAGGUAAUUGACGGGGGGCCGCACAAGCGGUGGAGCAUGUCGCUUAAUUCGAAGCAACGCGAAGAACCUUAUCCAGGGCUUGACAUCGCAGUGACCGGCAUAGAAAAUAUGGUUUUCCUUUCGGGGAC